ACAUUUGAUAUUUAUUACUUUUCCGAAUAUCGUGUUCCAUAAAUAGACGAGAAGGAUGAGAGUUCUUGGCGUAUAGUUUUGAAUUUGGAAAUGAAAGUUUCGCCAAUCAUAGCAACCCUUUUAAGUAAAGAAAAACAAUAACAGACAUUACCCUUUCUCCUCUUCUCCCAACCUCACCUGUCUGUGAGUAGCGCUGGUUGUUGUUGGGAGAAGGAAUCGACCAAUAGUGUUGUUGGUAAUAGCCAUAGAAAUUAUCUUGCUGUUAUUUAUUCCCACUUAUUUGAAUUUCACAUCGUUAUCACUCCAUAAUAGAAAGAUGGUGUUCAUCUCUACUUCCGGUAGAGUUACGCCUGGUUGAAGUGGCAGAUUUAUGAAGUUUAAAAAACUGAUUCGUGCUAAUAUUUAUUCAAAAGUAGAUCUGUUAACGCGUGUUUAACGGAUAAUAAAUACUUUUUUUCAAAUUAAUGUAUUAUAAUUAAAUAUAUCUACCAUAAUGAUAAUGCUUUGUUUUUUUUCAUGUAUAAGGACCAAAUGAAGAAAAUACACAUUCAUUAGACCAAGCAUUUUUGAAGCUAUAGUUCUUUAUAUCAACUCUACUCUAGUAUUUUAGUAUGUCCUUUCAGUUGUUAUUGUUGGCAAAGCUUGGAAGCAAUAUAGAUCUCGCAUUUCUGUUUUGAUAGGAACUUACUAUUAUUCGUUUUUGCUUCUUAAUUCUGGGAAGUUUGCUAAUGUAGCUGUGAAUUGGGGAUCCAACUCAUCUGUGCUAAUUCUUCUAAACUGAAUAUUAGUCCCUUUUGAUACUUAUUGAUUGCUAAAGUAGGUAAGUUUUGGGAAGUAUCUUAAAGAAUCUGAAAAGAACAUCAGUUAUUUAAUGCCAUGAGUCAGUCUGAAUUUCCAAACAAAUAAGUAGAUUGGUUAUUAAGGUAAGAUGCUGAUUCAUUCUUUUUCUUCCUAUCAGAUAUGACUAUUUUUAUUACAUUGCAAAUUUUGUUCCAAAUAACUAUUACAAAAUGAUUGCAUGAUGUUUAGUGUCAAAAUAAAAUGUUACUCACUGUUUUUUUUUUAAAAAUAGUAGUUCUUGAAGUGUUAAAUGAUAUAAAAUAGAAUUUUUUACAUUAAUUUUUAUAUGCACAGCAAAGGAGUCUUAUCUGCUACUUGCAAAUGCUGUAUAUGAUGUCUAGUCACAUGAAGCAAAUAAGCAUUUAAAAAAAUAUUGUCUAUUAUAAAAUUUUUACAAUUCGUUAAUGGGAUUCAGUUGCAAAUUAAACUUAAUGUGGGAACAACUCUUCUCUUUCACCUUUGACUUUCUUAAUAUUUCAUUAUGAUUAUAUUAAUAAAAAAUUUUAGCAAAUAGUGAAAUUAUACCCUGAAUAAUUUUUUUUUUUUUUGAAUAAUGGUUGAAAAUGUUUUAAUUUAGUGCUUUGUGAGAAUUCUUGUGGACUACUGUUCCAUUUGGAAAUCCUUGCAUUAAUAUGAAGUAUUGAGCAGUUCAUUUAUGAAACAUAGUGAAAAUACAUCUUUCACAAAUCUCAUAAAGUUGACCAUGUUCAGUUUCAAUGCCGUUUUUCUAAGUGAUAAGGCUGUUUAAUAAAAAAAAUUUUUUUGUAUCUAACCUAAAUUUGAAAAAUCAACAAAAUCUUUUUGAAUUUUCUUUAUGAAAUAAUUCAAGAAUACAAUUCAUAUUGAGGUAUUUUCUAUCUUUAUUGUAUACAACGAGGAUUUAGAAAAAAAUGUUUACAAUAAAUUGUUAAAAUUAUUCAUCUUUUACCAAUUAAAAAAUAAUAAAUGCAAAACGACAGUUUUCAUUGUAAAUUUAUUUUGCUCCACUGUUUGAGGAAAGAUAGAAAAUUAUUAAAAUGUCUUACAAAAAUUGUCGAUGGUAAAUUUUCCAUCUUCAGAAAUUACAGGAAAUUCUAAAUCAGAUUAUUUUGAUAAAUGAUUAAAUAAAUGUGAUAAAUGAGUAUUAUUUUGAUAAAUGAUAAUGUAGUAAC